GACGAACGCUGGCGGCGUGCCUAACACAUGCAAGUCGAGCGAAUGAAGUUCCUUCGGGAAUGGAUUUAGCGGCGGACGGGUGAGUAACACGUGGGCAACCUGCCUCAUAGAGGGGAAUAGCCUUCCGAAAGGGAGAUUAAUACCGCAUAAGAUUGUAGUACCGCAUGGUACAGCAAUUAAAGGAGCAAUCCGCUAUGAGAUGGGCCCGCGGCUCAUUAGCUAGUUGGUGAGGUAACGGCUCACCAAGGCGACGAUGCGUAGCCGACCUGAGAGGGUGAUCGGCCACAUUGGGACUGAGACACGGCCCAGACUCCUACGGGAGGCAGCAGUGGGGAACAUUGCACAAUGGGGGAAACCCUGAUGCAGCAACGCCGCGUGAGUGAUGACGGCCUUAGGGUUGUAAAGCUCUGUCUUCAGGGACGAUAAUGACGGUACCUGAGGAGGAAGCCACGGCUAACUACGUGCCAGCAGCCGCCGUAA
rnacentral:rRNA from 1 species